UACAGGGGGUGCAAGCGUUGCUCGGAAUCACUGGGCGUAAAGCGUACGCAGGCGGACCGUUAAGUCGGGUGUGAAAGCCCGGGGCUCAACCCCGGAACUGCAUUCGAUACUGGCGGUCUUGAAUACGGGAGAGGUGAGUGGAAUUCCUGGUGUAGAGGUGAAAUUCGUAGAUAUCAGGAGGAGCACCGGUGGCGAAAGCGGCUCACUGGCCCGAUAUUGACGCUCAUGUACGAAAGCGUGGGGAGCAAACAGG
rnacentral:rRNA from 1 species